CUUCGGUACAUCGGUGACAGGUGGUGGCAUGGUUGUCGUCAGCUCGUGUCGUGAGAUGUGGGUUAAGUCCCGCAACGAGCGCAACCCCUAUUGUUAGUUGCCAUCGUUCAGUUGGGCACUCUAGCGAGACUGCCGGUAAUAAACCGGAGGAAGGUGGGGAUGACGUCAAAUCAUCAUGCCCCUUAUGACCUGGGCUACACACGUGCUACAAUGGUUGGUACAACGAGUUGCGAGUCGGUGACGGCGAGCUAAUCUCUUAAAGCCAAUCUCAGUUCGGAUUGUAGGCUGCAACUCGCCUACAUGAAGUCGGAAUCGCUAGUAAUCGCGGAUCAGCACGCCGCGGUGAAUACGUUCCCGGGCCUU
rnacentral:rRNA from 1 species